AACAUCGCGCACCUGCGGGAACCUGCGGAAGGAUCAUUACAGAGUUGCAAAACUCCCUAAACCAUUGUGAACGUUACCUAAACCGUUGCUUCGGCGGGCGGCCCGGGUCCUUCCCGGCGCCCCUCGGCCCUCGCGGGCGCCCGCCGGAGGUAAACCAAACUAUUGCAUUGUAUGGCCUCUCCGAGUCUUCUGUACUGAAUAAGUCAAAACUUUUAACAACGGAUCUCAGAUCGGAAGAGC
rnacentral:misc_RNA from 1 species